rnacentral:lncRNA from 1 species
UAAACAACCAAUCCAUUCCUAAAAUCACAUCAAACUCCCGAAAAGGUAAUUCAACCAAAUCUCCAUGAAAAAUGUGACCGUGAAUCAAGAUGGGGCAAUCUUUAAAUACUUUACUGACAACUACACUGUGGCCAAGAGGAUUAGUUACUACUAUAUCCUGGUCUAGUAUGUCUGCUUGUAGUUCUUUUUUAUUUGUGAUAGGUAUGCAAAUAUAAGAGUGUGUGGAACCAGGAUCUAUUAAAGCAUGAACAGACCGGCCAAAGAUAGAAAAUAUACCCAUGAUAACAUCUAGGGCAUCCUGAUCCUCUCUGGCUUUGAUGGCAUAGGCUCUGGCAGGUGCUCUAGAUU